GAGGGUAUAGCUCAGUGGUAGGGCAUGCGCUUAGCAUGCACAGGGUCCUGGGUUCAAUCCCCAGUACCUCUA
rnacentral:tRNA from 1 species